UUACGAAACAUAUUACACGAAGACAUUUAACAUCAAUUUAUUCGACGGCAUAAACCGAAUUACCACGUAACGAUCGACAUCGAUACAAAAUACGAUAGUAGUAGGCUCAUCAUACAUAUAACCAAAGAUUCAUCAGCUCAAAGUCAUCCAACUAGUAGUAAGCUGAUAAAUCGAGGCCAUCGAGGUAAGAUGCACGAAAUGGACGACGACGACGACGAAUAGACUUCUUGUUGGCCUCCCAAUACUCACGCAUAUUCUCCUUAACCGGAUACACGAUUAGCUCACGUACGGUCAUCGGCUGGAUGACGUUAGGAUCGGCUCCAUAGAGAAGAUGAGCAAUUUCCUCUUGCGCCUUCUCUGUGUUGUGACGUCCAUCGAAGAAGAAGUAAGAUCUUUGGUACUCACAUAGCUUCGAGUGCACGUUUCCCAUCCCGCAACCGUAAGCAUUAUGCGUCCCUACCCCGCAACACGAUGUGUUCGCCACAUAAAACCCUAUAGAUCAACAUGAAUCAUUUAGAUUAUAUUAUAUCUUCACGCGCGUUCGAUUAUCCUUGUGGCUUUUAUCAGAUCUUUGGUAUCUUUAAUCUGUUUUUUUGUUUGCAUUGUACUUAAUAAACGUUUAAUAAUAUGAUAAGAUCGCUGAAAAAUUCUCAAUGUACUAAACAACAUGCAACAAUUAAUUAGUUAGUGAAUAUUUUUUUUUGCUAAAUAGUGAAUAUUAUGGUGAUGACGAUGACUUACGGUAGUGAAUACUCCUGCCAGACGCAAUCCUACGCAAAACGGCGUUGUAGAAAUCGAAGACGGUGAACUGAAAACCACUGUUGGGUUUUUUAGCAAACUCGUUCAACAUCGGACCGAUCUUCUCGUUGUGUAGUUUAGCCAAAUCGUUGAGUGGCUCGUAACAUUCGUUGCCGGUUUUGUAUUCUUGUCUGGAGAUCGGUAGACAACCCAAUGGUGCUAGUAAUGGAACCACGAAUUUACUCGCUCCCAGGGAGUAUAACAACUGUAAAAAUAAACAUAAAUAUAUUUUAUAUAUAUAUGUAAGCCAAAACAUACAUAAAUAGUAAGUCAAAUGAACAUAUUAGUUAAUGUACAAAUACGCAUAAUAUACUGUUUGUUGACAACUUACGCCAAUGUCGUUCUUCAAUCGGUUAGUGACAGAAGUGACAAAAGCUUGCUGAGCAGAAGUGUCUGCUUUUGGAUUGGUCUUGGUGAAGUUUAAAUAAUCUUCAGUACCAAUAUAUAUCAUAAACACUGAUUUCUCGAUGUAGUCGUCUGUCCAUUUUGAUAUCAUACUUUUAAAUUUGUUCACUUGUUGAUUCAGUGUCAUCUGUAUAUACAUCAAAAAAAAAAAAUUGGUAAACAUGUUAAGAUUACAUAGACAAGUAAUUUAAAAAAUAAAUCAAUUAAACUUUUCUUAUUAAUAACUAUUAUUAAAAGAAAACAUUUAUUUUCGAUUUUUUUUAAAGCUGUAUAUUUCUGAAUGAUUCUUUCUUAUUCUUUCCCCAAAAGGGACAUCGUUUAAGCUGUAUAUGUACUUCAGGUAUUAUUAUACCUAAAAAGUCUCUCUUUUGUAGAAAAUCCAAUGUUUUCUUUUUUUUUUUAGCGAAAGCAGACUUACAGAUUCCACCGGAGCCCCAAGAAUAGAAGCAUCGGCGACGGCAAAACUAGCUCCACGUGAAAGAUCAACGUCCGGUUUAAGAGCCGGUGGGAUUCCGUUCGGAAUGGACAUGAAGUCACCUAUACAAUAACCAUGAGAUCGAUUAGUUAUUAUCUUGUGUCUUAAUAAGCUACACUAUAUAUCGUUAAUUAGAUUAUUAAUAAAGAGCGCACCAAUAAAAUCGGGGACGAUCCGGCCAUCGGAAAAUUUGCCGUCCGGGUAGUCGAUGGAUUUGCCGUAAGGCCACAAGUUUUGUGGAAGAUUUCUAUUUUUUUUAAGUAGAAACACUUUGUUUCCGGCGUCGUAGUAGGAGUCACCAAAAGCGAACAACGCUACAUUCGGAACACCUUCGCCGGCGUAGACAAUGAUCGGAUCAUGGAAGAUGGUCAAUACCAAUAAUGCUCCCAAAACACUCACUAAAUUACACUUGCCUGCCAUUUCUCAAAGGUAUUAUGCGAGAGAGAGAGAGGAGAGGAGAGGAUUAAUGGACGGGUGGUGAACUUUCACGCUCUCCACUGGUCUUAUUUAUACUGCCAAUAUAAUAUAGUACUCGUUUUUCUUUCACUAAUAUAAUAUUUUUUUAAUAAUAUAUUAUUCAAAAGUAAUGUAAUCUGUAAAGAGAAAUCUUAUCUAUAUCGCAUCCCCUUACAAUUUCAGGCUCAAGACUCACGUAGCAUGAGGCCAUAUCCAUAACCGUUUCUAGAGAUACGAAGUCUCGAACUUUAAAAAAUGACACUCAUCAUAUUAAAUUCAUAUAAAAUCAAAAUUUAAAACAUAAUCCAAAAAAAAAUAAGAUAACAAAAUUUAAAACAUAACAUUUCUUCUCUUCUUUGUAACAAAUUCAUUAACCACGUUUUCAACACUUUUAACUAACUCUCUUUUGAUAGACAUAUAAUUUGAUAGACAUAUAAUGAAAAAUAUAUAUAAAUCUAUAAAGAGUUAGUUAUGCUAACAUUUUACUGAGAUUUUUUAGAAAAAAAGUUAAAACACAUCGCGUCAAUAAAUUAUCAUCAUUAAUCAUUACUUUAUUUUUUUAUUAAUUAAAUAUUAGAUUUAAUAUUUAACUAAAAUCUGUUGUUGCCUUUGGAUCUUCAAGUUUUUUUAUAAAAUUUGAGCUCGUAAGCCAAUGCUUCUUUUUCACUCACAUAGGCACGAACCUGACCAUAUAUCAACACUUUAGUACGAGAAGAUAUGAGGCCAUAUCAAAAAAAUAUUGUUUGCCCGAAAAUUGUUACUUUAUGAGAUUUUUAUCGACACUUUAGUACGACAAUCUAUGCGACCAUAUCAAGAAAAUUGUAACAUUUCAGAAAAUUAUUUUGUUCUAACGUAUAGAUUGGUCGUUAAAUUGCUUUCUUUCUUUUUUUUACGUACAUUAGUUAAAUUGCUUAAAAAGGCAUCUUAAAGCAAAAUUUUGGGUAAACUUAAUAAUAACGUAUUUACCUUAGAUACAAUUCUGUUUUAAGAGGUUGAGAUUGAAAAAAAAAGGAUUUCAGAUAUAAUAUAUAUAUAUAUAUAUAUAUAUAUAUAUAUAUAUAUUGGAAUUAGGUUUUCAUUUAAUAACGAGUUGUUGGAAAUAUUAAUAUCAGCAAAAGUUAUUCGGCUUAAAAAUAACCGUCUUAAAACUUUUGCCUCUCGUUAUUCAAGUUAGUACCAUAUCUAAUAUCCCUAAGUUAUUCGGCUCUAAACUGUUCUUCUUCGAUCCAUCUGCGAUUCUGCGCCCAGCAUGUUCUUCAUUGGGAAUCUCUGUCUUGUCGUCCAUCGUAAUUUGUCUCAUUCAAUUCUCCAUCAACAUGUUUUAUCUGGAAACGUUUUACCCCCGAUUUAAAUGGUCUCACCUAACAAUUGAUGAUAUUUGAUUAUUGUCACUUAGUAUUUAUUAACUCCCUGAAAUUUUUUGUCUUUCGCAAUACGGCGCUCAACUUUAGAAAUUAUCAGCUUCUUAUUUUAAUCUUUCGCAAUACGUCACUCAUCAACUUUAGAAAUUAUCAGCUUCUAUGUACUGAUCUGAUCUCAACGUAUUAGCAAACUCGAAAUGGAAUAUGAAAACUGCCAAUCGCAUAUAUUUGUAUAUCAACAAAACGAUUCAUAUAUACGCGCGACUUGUAUAUAGAUAUCCACAACAUAUUUUUUAAAAAGUGGGAAAUCUUUCAGGAACAGAUGAAAAACUCUAGUUUUUGUUAGCGUCCACUGUAGUAUACGUGGAAAAUGGAGACAAACUCUCUUGUCAGUUGUCACAGACCAUCCUCAACAACAGAGGUAUUCACGAACGCUAAAGAUAAUUGCAAAUGUGGCUAUUACCUUGAUUGAUUUAUCUGCAAAAUAGUGAUACUAAUUUUUGUUGAAAAUCAAAAGUAGAAUCAACAGUUGCAAUAUACAUAUAAUAUAUAUAUAUAUAUGUGUGUGUACUUAAUUUAUUUAUAUACAUGCAUAUAUACUCAUAAAUUUAUUUUAAAACAGUUUAUAUGUAUACUGUAGUCAAGAAUUAUUAUGUAUAUAAAAUAAAAUAUCUACACACCUAUACUAUGUAGCGCGUGAUGAACAAGCUAUAGAAAGACCUUUUUAUUAAUCUUCGUAGAUAUUACAAGAACACAUUCAACAGCAAUUAUUAAUAUAUAUAUUUUUUUCACUCAACAGCAAUUUAUUCGACGGCAUAAACCGAAUUACCAUGCACGACACCGAUACAUAGUGCAUUAGCAGAUACGUAGUAGUAGGCUCAUCAUACAUAUAACGAAAGAUUCAUCAGCUCAUCAAAUUCAUCCAACUAGUAGUAAGCUGAUAAAUCGAGGCCAUCGAGGUAAGAUGCACGAAAUGGACGACGACGGCGACGAGUAGAUAACUUGUUGGGUUCCCAAAACUCACGCAUAUUCUCCUUAGCCGGAAAGACGAUUAGCUCACGUACGGUCAUUGGCUGGAUCACGGUAGGAUUGGCUCCAUAGAGAAGAUUUGCAAGUUCCUCUUGCGCCUUCUCCGAGUUGUGACGUCCGUCGAAGAAGAAGUAAGAUCUUUGGUACUCACAUAGCUUCGAGUGCACGUUAACCAUUCCACAACCAUACGCAAAGUGAGUCCCUACCCCGCAACACGAUGAGUUCGUCACGUAAAACCCUACAGAUCAACGUGAAUAAAUUGAAGUUUAAUUAUAUGAUCUUCACGUACGGUUUACGUAUCGUUUGUUAUCUUAACUAGUGAUAAUAAUUUUUGUGUGUUUGUAAUAUGGUACUUAGUAAAAUAAUUGAUGAUAUAUAAUCAACGUAUCUUAGCAGAAAACUUUCCAUAAAAAUCAUUGUAUUUUUUGUGUUUGUAAUAUUGUACUAAGUAAAAAAAUUGAUAGUGAUAAUAAUCAUAUGCGGCCCUGAAUUUCUGAAACAAUAAGCAACACUUAAUUAGUUAGUGAAGAUUGAUUAUGAUGAUGAAGACAGCUUACGGUAGUUAAUACUCCUGCCUGACGCAAUCCUACGCAUAACGGCGUUGUAGUAAUCGAAGACGGUGAAGAGAAAACCGCUUUUGGGGAUUUUAGCAAACUCGUUCAACAUCGGACCGAUCUCCUUGUUGUGUAGUUUUGCCAAAUCGUUGAGUGGCUCGUAACAUUCGUUGCCGGUUUUGUAUUCUUGUCUGGCGAUCGGUAAGCAACCCAAAGGUGCUAGCAAUGGAACCACGAAUCUACUCGCUCCCAGGGAGUAUAAUAACUAUAAAAUAAAUGAAUAGUAUAUGUAAGCCAAAAACAUACAUAAAUAGUAAGUCAAAUUAAAUGAACAUAAUUAAUGUACAAAAACGCAUAAUAUACGGUUUGUUGACAACUUACGCUGAUGUCGUUCUUUAAUCGCUUAGUGACAGAAGUGACAAAAGCUUGCUGAGCAGAAGCGUCUGCUUUUGGAUAGGUCUUGGUGAAGUUUAGAUAAUCUUCAGUACCGAUGUAUAUCAUAAACACUGAUUUCUCGAUGUAGUCGUCGGUCCAUUUUGAUAUCAUACUUUUAAAUUUGUUCACUUGUUGAUUCAGUGUCAUCUGUAUAUACAUAUAGGAAAUUAAAAAACGACUUGAACUCUUCUUUUUGUAACUCUUAACGAAAGGAAACCUUAAUGUUAAAAAUCUUUAAAGCUAAUAUACUUCAUGUGUUAUUAAAAAGAUAAACAUAAAUAGUCUAUCUCUUUCUUUUAAUAGUAAAGGCAGACUUACAGAUUCCACCGGAGCUCCAAGAAUAGAAGCAUCGGCGACAGCAAAACUAGCUCCACGUGAAAAAUCAACAUCCGGUUUAAGAGCCGGUGGGAUUCCGUUCGGAAUGGACAUGAACUCACCUAUACAAAAGCCAUGAUUUAUUAUUAUCUAGUUUCUUAAUAUAAACUACGCUCCUUGUAUUUAUAUAUAUAUAUAUAUAUCUUUAGAAUAUUAAUAAAAGAGCGUACCGAUAAAAUCGGGGACGAUGCGGCCAUCGGAAAAUUUGCCGUUGGGGUAGUCGGUGGAUUUGCCGUAAGGCCACAAGUUUUGUGGAAGAUUUCUUUUUUUGUUUAGUAGAAACACUUUGUUUCCGGCGUCGUAGUAGGAGUCACCAAAAGUGAACAACGCUACAUUCGGAACACCUUCACCGGCGUAGACGACGGUCGGAUCAUGGAAGAUGCUCAAUACCAAUAGUGCCCCCACAACACUCAUCAAAUUACACUUGCUUGCCAUCUCUCAAGUAUGAGUUAUGCCAGCGAGAGAGAGGAGAGGAUUGGAUGAAACUUUCAGACUCUCCACUCGUCAUAUUUAUAGUGCCAAAAUGAUCAUAAUAUUCACCGUUAUGUAAACUUUCUUUUUACUGGCCACAUAAAAAGAUUAAAAACAUAAUAGUGGGGCAAUCAACAAAUUAAUUAAAAAAAAAAAUCUUAUUGAUAUCUUAUCUUACGAUAUGAGGGAGGCUCAAGACUCACGUGGCAUAUUAUCUUAAUGUUUGGAUGCGAAAACAUGUGUGCACGAAAUUUAAUUAUUGUACGAGAUUCUUAUCGUCAUUCUAGUAGCACAAGAUACGAGGACAUAUAUAUUACGAAAAUAGUAACAUAUCACGAAAAUAGUAACAUUUCAGACAAAUAAGGGGACUCCUCUCCAUUGAAUAUCAUCAAAGCGAGAGCGUAAUGUACCGAUCUUCACAACAACCUCCUCUCCUUUGAAUAUCAUCAAGGCUUUGGUGGAUCGGAGUAUGCAAAACAGACUUAUAUCCUUCCCUCCAAAAGAUCGUAAUUCUUUUUUUCUCCUUGAAUUUUAAUUUGGUUGUAUUUCUCAUCUGAUUUAAUAUUGAUUUUGCUUGGUUCCAAUUUUGGGUAAGCUGUAAGGGUGCUUUUCCGUUUUAGUAUGUAACUGUAACCGUUUCUUUCUAGUAUCAAAUCUUAACAUUAAACCCAAAAAAUAAUAGGACGCCAAAUUUUUGUUCUUUUUUUUUUUUUUUGAGAGCUUCUUAUUCAUCUUCUUAACCAAAAGGAUUCUAACGUGUAGAUUUGAUCAUUAGAUUACUUUAAAAGCCAUCUUAAAGCAAUUUUUGGGGGUAAGCGUUUUUCCUUUAGAAUAGCUUAUUUUUCUUUCAUAGUUAGUUACAUCUCCAGUAUACAGAGGAUUUGAAAUUCGCACAAAACUUACAAAAAAAAAAAUAAAGAGGGAUUUAUACACACACGUAUAUAUAUAUAUAUAUAUAUAUUAUUUUUUAGUUGAAUUCUCGAAAUUAGCUUUUAUAAAUAUAUAACGAGUUGAUUAAAAAAAAAAAAUCAGCAAGAGUUGUGCGGUUAAAAUUAAGCGUCGGCUUCAGCAUGAAACAUGUUUUUCUCGUUGGAUUAGGUAGUCAUGUUAGUACCAUAUCUCAUAUCCCUAGGGACCUUCCUUCAAACACCAUAUAGUGUGAUGGAUACCCAAAACAAGACAAAAGAAAAUUUAAAAUUGAGUAAUGACAUAUCACCCACUAAAAACCAAAAACCAAAACCAUACACCGAUUGGCUUAAAUCCCGUUAGAACACCUCCAUUAGAGAUUUUUAAUCCAUUUGUGGCUCAGUUUCGUAAAUAAAAAAAUUAAAAAAAAUUGUAAAAACUUAUUUUCUUAAGGAGAACUCUUUAGAUAAGGAGCUGAAGAGACCAUCUUUUAACACAUGUGGCAAGCGCUUACUGGACGUUUAAUAACUUUUUUUUUUAAUUUUGUGUAAUUAAUUUUAGCUUUUUAUCUCUAAAAAAACAUUAAACUAUUCAUAUGAAACCCAACAUAAAUAACAUUAAUGGAGAUGCUCUUAUCCCUUUAAACUUCAUUUAGAUGUGAAAUUUUAAUACGUCCCUCAUGAUGAUGACUCAACUCGAUGACUCAACUCGAACCGAAUCUCACUUUAAAAUUAAUAAUAAACUUUUUAUGGAUCAACAAACAAAUCUCUAAUAUCAUUCUGAUAUCAUAUUAAAUUUUAUAGGUUUCCAACUCAAAACUAGUUAAUAAUAAAUAAAUUAACCUGAAUUUUUUAUAUACAAUAGUCUUUUAAACUUUGAAACUUUGGAUCGUGAAAUUCUAACAUAUAUUUUUGCUAUAACUUAUAGUAAAGAUGACAAGUUGUAACAUUCCAAACACAAUUUUAAUUCAAGAUCACGAUGCAUGGCAAAAACAAAGAGUUUUUUUUGGUUUUUCCCAACAAUCCAAACGGUUUUGAUGAGUAAGAAUUCUAAAGUUCACUGGUGAAAGAUUUUUCAUUAACCUUCUUUGAUCUUUCAUCGAAACAAACUUUUUCUGUCUUUCCGAUGACACGUUUUGUUUUUGUGAACAUCAGAUUUUGCAUUUUCAAAGCAACAAUUCGAAAUUUGUUUAUAUAAAUGAUCACCUACUUUAUUAUAUAAACCGCGCCACCAUAAUACGCCAUUUAAACUCUGAACACCAACAAAUAUUUUUACUAUCUUAACUAUCUAAUCAAUUCUGGCCCUGGAGACAAUCAAUAUAAGCAGCUACCCACAACGACAAAAACAACUACUUCAAUAAUCUGGGGCCAUGUUGCUUUAAAUUUUAUUUGGACCAUAUAAAUAAUUCGGGGCCCUUGUAUACUAAAUUUUUAAAUAUGACUUGUUUCUUAACAUCAUGAAAGUUAUAGCGCCACCUACCGUAUUGAGCUACCUAAGGAUGACGGGGUCAGUUGACCCCAUAACUUUUAUAAACUUUGUUUGCAGGCCUAAUUUAUAAUGUUUAAUGGUUGAUUUGUUUAAAACAUGUAAACUGACCCCAUUGUACGAGGUUUAAUUCUUUACCCUUGCACCCGUUUUGAUCAUUUUUUCAACAUAAUCGGUUCUUUUUUUGGUGAGUUUGUGCAUUUGAUAUGCUUAUGCACAAUUUCUAAACGAGUAUUAAACUAAUAAUGUUUAUACAAUUGGUUUUGAUUUUUGUUUUUUUAAUUAAUUGUUUGGUUAUACCUUUUACCAACCCAAAAAAAAACUCGAUUAUCAAUGAACACAACAAUUAACUAUGUUUUUUUGUUUGAACAUUAUAAUUAACUAAUGUUGAUCACUAAACUAUCCAUUUAUAUAUAUUAUUUAUAAUAAGUAAGCAUCUUAUUUCUUGUAGUCCAUUUUGGAAGGAAGGAGAAUGGACAAUUAAUUACUCGAGAAACAAGUAAUUAAUGGUGAGAAGACUGAGAAGGUUUUUCGAUCCACUACGUAGUAAGCAACUCCGAGGAGUUCUCCAUGUCGAUGAUUAGUAUUAUUAAUUGCUUUCAGUUUUAAAUUAUACUUAUAAGAUUUGAAUUUUUUUUUUGAAACCCUUUCAUUUAUUUUGGAAAAUAUCUCUAAAGUUUAUGAGUAUUUAUCAAUUUGAAAAUUUAAAGAAAUUGUAAUUUCGAAUAACUAAAUGAGACUUUUAAUUUAAACUUUAAUUAUAUGAGUUGUAUUUAUACAUGUUUUCUGUUUUAGAGUUUAAAAUAUUUGAUUUUUUUAUCCGCAUCUCACGGAGACCUAAUCUAGUAACUUAUAAAAACAUUACUUCGGUACCUAAAACUGUGUAUAUGUGUAAUAAUUUACCAUUUAUUUAAUGAUAUAACCCUUGAUAAAAUGGUUAAUUUGAUUUGACAAAAAAAAAAAAAGAGGAAAAAGAGAGUGAGUUGCUGUUAGGGAAAAAAAUUGAUGUGGGAUGUGCGAUAUUUCUUCUUUGUCUCGUCCCAUUCCGUCUCGGCCAAGUCAGAUCCGAUCCGCAAAACUCAAAUAUUUUUUAUUUUGUCCAAUCCGAUUUUCUAAGUUUAUACAGUUUAGAGUGAAUUACAUCUUUCAAAUCUACAUAGUGGAGUUAAGACUUAAGACUCAUUAUUGCAUUAACGCAUUUCGACCAACAAAGGAAUUACAUAAACGCAUUAGAAAUAAACCAUCACUAUUAAGAUUAUAUAUAAGAAGUAGAAUUGAAAAUUAAUCAAAAUUUAAUACGUAUAAAUGUAAAAUUUGAUGUCACUGAAGUUAUCUGGAGACGAUUCGUACAUUUAUUUUAAAUCAUGAGCAUAUAUUAAUGUAGAUUUAGAUACUGUUGAAGUUAUUAUGAUGUUUAGAACAUCGCAUGGUCAUUCGAACUAACUCACCAUAAUGUUGUUUCAGAGAUUUUAACUAAGCAAUCGACUCUAAGUAUAAAUCUAAUUUAUAUUCAUGUGAUUUUUAUAUGCUUUGAAAUCAUAUAAUUAGAAAACCAAAAUGCAAGGAAAAAUAAAUAAUAUACUUGACCUUUCGGUGGCUCUGAUGCUUACUUGAACCCUGCCAAGAAUGACCCAACUCCAUCUGAUUAUCAAAAACAAGCUUUUGAUGAUCAAGUCAUCACUACUUUUAUAGAGGCUGCAAAUAAAGGGAAAAUGCUUAGCAGUUACAUGAUAAUAUUUGCGAGAAUAUGAACAAUAUUUUGUUCUGCUUUCGAUUUCAUAGUUCAUCUCUGGUAAAGCUAGAGCUCUUUUGUGAUAUACAUACGAUGCCAAGACUGUGUUCCUACUGUUAAUGCCAAUGUGAUGGGAACGUGACAUGGAUAAUAAAACUUCUUGUUGAUGUUUUUCGUCAAUAAACACCAAAAGCCUCGUUGUGGAUUUACAGUUGAUUUAGUUGAACUCCAAAUAGAAUGCUUCAUGAAAAUACAAGAGACAUUAGCAUAAUAUGGGCCUUUGUAAAUGGGCUUACCGGCCCGCAUUAUAUGAAAAUAGUUUGUUUUAACUUGUGAAAUGAUGGAAUGAUAUCACCAUCUCACAUAUUUGUAUCAAUGUAUCAUCUUAUGUAAUCUUGACGUUUAUUCAUUUUAUCAUUCUAUUAAAUCAGUAGAAAAAAAAAUAUCAAAAUGUGGUCAUUCCAUAUAUUUUUUUAAUGAUUUCUUCUAGUUUCUUUUUUUUUUUUCUCCCAUUUUAUUUAUUUAAGUUUAACAAAUCUAGAUUUAGUAAAUAUUAAAUGGCACACCUUUUUUUGUUUUCUUGCAAGAAUUGUCACACCAUUAGUGUCAGAAGGUAUUUUCAAAAUUGUUUUCCAAUUGAAUUAAUUAUAAAUUCUUAAAAUCAAAUAAAUAAUAAAUUUUUUGAGAGAAAAACACUAAACUUAUAAAUCGUAUGAUCGAAUAGAACUUAAAAUAUAACCGUACAACAUAUUUUGAUUCUUAGAUUUUGCUGGAUGUAGUCCCAAAAUUUCAUAGUCAUCAACAUCGAAAAUAAUAUAUUAGUUUAGAUCAACUUUGAAUAUAUUUGCUAACAGCUACAUUCAUCAUGUUGCAUCUUUUUAAUUUUAGACAGAAAAUAUACUUUGAAUUGAUGCUGAACAAUUUUACAUUUUCAACUUUUUAUAGAGAUUUUUUUUUUCAAACAUGAAUUAAAAUUCUAAAAUGGUACUGUAUUAUUUAGCAUUCAGGCGUUUAGAACUUAGAAGGUCAUUGAUUGUUGGGAUAAAACAAUAAUUUUAUAAAAAGAUUAACAUCAAAAACAAUAAUUAAGAACUAUAAAAGAAAGGGGAAUAUAAAGUAGUGGUUGCCAAAAAGGGAAGACACUCGUUCCCUCAAUCAUUGGACAUGUCACUACUUUCCACAUUUUCGGCUCUAUUAAAUCCCCUCUAGUCUCACCCCCAUUUUCCAUUUUCUUUCUUUAAUCUACUUUGUAAUUCACUGUCAAUGUUAACCCGUAGUUUUUUGGUUUGUUUACCUAGAAAAAAUGACAUUUAUCUCAUCUAUCCUUACUUUUAGGAUUUAUACUUUUAAGUUUUGAACCAGCUCGAAGUACAUGAUUCUUAGUUCGUCUUAAAGUCUUUAGGCGCAUAUAUACAGAUAGCCCGAUAGAAUAGCAUUGGAGGAUGUUCAAGUCUCAAUCAUUUGCCGUAAUAAAUAAAGAUUUAACUUAUUAAAUAGCUUCAGUCUGAAAAUGCUUUUGAUAAUCACAAAUUCUCAAUCCAACACACAAAUGAUGAAUUAAACCUUAUGUUUAUUCCGUUUUGGCCUUAUGAUUUAUUUAUUAAAAAAAAGAAUAAACAACAGACGGAGAAUAAAAUUUAGGACAAAACUCUUUUCAACGCCAUAAUAAAUUGAUUGUUUUAAGGUUGUCAUACGAAUCUGUAAUUUUUUCAGGUUUAUGUCUAAAAGGAGAAAUAAUAGAAAAAGAGAAACCAAUAAUUGCUUAAAAAAAGGCCCCGCGGUAGUCACGUAGCUGAAAUGUUAAAAGUGCGUGAGUUGCAAUUUAAAUAGUAAUAUUAGCGAAUAAAUAAUAAUUACGUAAAAAUUUGCUGCCACGGUGGUCCAGACAUAAUCCACGUGAUGCUCGUUGUGAUAUGAGGAAAGGCCCACCCUGUGCCACGUCAUUAUGCCAGCUGUCUCCAGUUCUUCAUUUCAGGGUCUUUCCCAUGUUGUUGUUGUACAUCCCACUCCCCCGAACUCCGUCGUUUUAAGCCGUCGGAUAUACAAAUCCAACGGUUCGGGAGUUUCAUUAAUGUUCUUCCUUUCUUUUUAUAUGUCGAUGCGUGAAAAGUCCAAAAAGGAGUUUCUCGCCUUUUUUUUCUUAACUCGGAUUCUCUCGUCUUUGUCAACGCAAUUUUUAUUUUUUAUAAACAAAACAAAUGCAGUUUUAGUUAUUUGAUUUUCGAAAAACUAAUCAAUGUACAAGUACAAUACCUCUGUUAUGCAAGAAUCUUUCCACUUCUAUUAUUUGAAAGAGAUAAGCUCAUUGUAGCUAUUUAUUUUUAGUUUUAGAGUUUAAAGUACAUUAGAACGGUUCAUUUUAGAGUGACGUAAGUUUUUUUUUUUAAUAAUUACAAUGACAUAUGUAGAAACGUGUAUCAUUUGCAAUCUCAUUUCAACAAACAAAAAAAUAGCGUGUAUCAUUUGCAAACCCUUUGAUUUUAUAACGAAGAAUUGGCUAUGAUCAAAUUAAUAUAAAGUUGACGAGGGCAUAUAAGCAUAUUAGUAUAUUCUCCUU
rnacentral:lncRNA from 1 species